CCUACGGGUGGCAGCAGUGAGGAAUAUUGGUCAAUGGGCGCGAGCCUGAACCAGCCAAGUCGCGUGAGGGAAGACGGUCCUAUGGAUUGUAAACCUCUUUUGUCGGGGAGCAAAAGACGCCACGCGUGGCGUUCCGAGAGUACCCGACGAAAAAGCAUCGGCUAACUCCGUGCCAGCAGCCGUGGUAAUACGGAGGAUGCGAGCGUUAUCCGGAUUUAUUGGGUUUAAAGGGUGCGCAGGCGGAAGCGGCAAGUCAGCGGUAAAAUUGCGGGGCUCAACCUCGCCGAGCCGUUGAAACUGCUCUUCUAGAGUGGGCGAGAAGUAUGCGGAAUGCGUGGUGUAGCGGUGAAAUGCAUAGAUAUCACGCAGAACUCCGAUUGCGAAGGCAGCAUACCGGCGCCCAACUGACGCUCAUGCACGAAAGCGUGGGUAUCGAACAGGAUUAGAUACCCGAGUAGUC
rnacentral:rRNA from 1 species